CUACGGAGGGGGCUAGCGUUGUUCGGAUUUACUGGGCGUAAAGCGCGCGUAGGCGGAUGAUCAAGUUGGGGGUGAAAGCCCGAGGCUCAACCUCGGAACUGCCCUCAAAACUGAUUGUCUCGAGUACGGGAGAGGUGAGUGGAAUUCCUAGUGUAGAGGUGAAAUUCGUAGAUAUUAGGAAGAACACCAGUGGCGAAGGCGGCUCACUGGCCCGUUACUGACGCUGAGGUGCGAAAGCGUGGGGAGCAAACAGGAUUAGAAACCCCAGUAGUCC
rnacentral:rRNA from 1 species